UACGGGGGGGGCAAGCGUUGUUCGGAAUUACUGGGCGUAAAGGGCUCGUAGGCGGCCAACUAAGUCGGAUGUGAAAUCCCCAGGCUCAACUUGGGAACUGCAUCCGAUACUGGAUGGCUUGAAUUCGGGAGAGGGAUGCAGAAUUCCAGGUGUAGCGGUGAAAUGCGUAGAUAUCUGGAGGAAUACCGGUGGCGAAGGCGGCAUCCUGCACCGACAUUGACGCUGAGGAGCGAAAGCUAGGGGAGCAAACGGG
rnacentral:rRNA from 1 species